CUUUAAACCCUAGCCGUCAUUAUACCCUGGAAUCUCCUGAAGAAAACGUAGUAAAUCCUCUUCAAAAAUCUGCCGUUCACUCCAAAUUUCGUUCCGUUUGAUUCCUGAGAUUGUAGACUCAGCCAUCUACAAGUCCGAGCUUAGUUUUCACACAACGCCGUUCGGAGGUCGAAAUCAAUUCCGUUCAUUCCCCGUGAAAGUAGACUCACGCCUCUACGAUUCAACACUUUCCUCUCGUCAAACGACCCGUCGACUGCUCGUGCUUCGGAGUCUACGCAGGGUUAGCUGUUUGCCAAGAUCACGUGGAUAAGCAAGCAGUUUAUGAUUUGAAAGCUAGUUCACUCCGAUUCUUUUGAUUCCUCGGAGGUUUUCAUGUUAUUAAACUAGUUUCUGUUUUCGAACUCUUAGACCGCAGUAGAACUAGUUAUUUAUUUCAUUUGAUAUUUCACUUUGGAUUUGUCGAUAUAUUCGAUUAUUUAUAUUUGGCAUGAUUA